AAAAUAUAUAAAUUAGAGAGUUAUCAUGCUCUCUUAGAGACAAAGGCUGACUGAUUUUCAGAAAUUAUAUAUGUAGGAUUGGUUGGAGUCUUCUAGAUAGCACCUUCGAAAUAAUUUUGUAGAAAAUUGUGCAGAGGGAAAUAGGUCGAUAUUCAGACAUCUUUUGGGGGCAUUGAACGUUGGGUAUGAGUCUGAUGUUUGUUUCAUUGAUCGACUUUUGCAGGCAUUCAGAAUGGAAGAAGUUUUGAACUUCUAGAAUGAUAUUUGGCCCCACUGUAUCCCAGUUCGUGUGAAAGAAGCUAGCCGAGAACCCAUCUGGUCCAGGAGCUUUUUCUGCGUGUAUGGAGAAGCAAGCGGUCUUUAUUUUGGCAUCAGUUGGUAGAGCAGUGAGAGAUAGGUUCAUUUCCUCAGAGAUACAGGGUUUAAUAACUUCUUGUACUGUCUCCAGUCUAGUGCUCCCUUAGGAGGUGAAGAGGUCCUCAAAAUACGAGCUUUGUAGGCCAAAAGCAGUUCUUUAUUCAGUCUGGAGAUAUCUUCCUGGGUGGGAGAUGGGUUCGACAUAGCUGCAUCCAGCUGGUCCUUGAGGCUUUCAUUGGGUGAGCAAAGGUCGGUGGUCAGAGCCUUGAAAUCUCAAAUAUUCACUGCAGCUAAAGGGGAAUAAUUCCGCCCAAGCUCCAUUUAACAUAGCCCUGUCUAGACGACAGAACACAAGCUGAUCAUGCCGCUUUCCUAUCCAUGAGAGAAAGUUACUUGAAUGGCGUAAGUCAAACAGGUCCCAUUCUGACAUGAACGAGCGUAUGUCUACGAAUGUCCCUACGUGACGGGGAGGUCUUCUUUGUUUUUCAGAGGCAUCAAUGAUAUCGUUGAAAUCACGUGUCAAGAACCAGGGCUCCUCUUUCUCUAAACCCAGGGCCAAUCCUCCUCCCCCUGGGCUAUGGGGUGGGAUCAAGAGGUGGGAAGGGUAGUUCAACCAUUGUAAGGAGCUUAAGACUUUUUUCAUCUGGGUUCUUCGUCUCCAUCAGGAACAAGACUUCCGGUGAGAUUUUGGAAUGAAACUCCCGGAGGCAUUGAACUGUUGUAGGGUUCCCCAGCUCACAACAGUUCCAGCUUAGUAACUUUAAGGAAGAGGAUAAGGUGGAUUGUGAAAAUCCACCUUCUUCUUCACCAUUAUCUGGGAUUAGCUUUCCUUGUGGUGCACCGUUACCAUUCUUACUGUUUUCUCCACGGUGGGAGGGUCCAGCUUCAGAGGUACUUCUCCGCUUUGAGGUGGUCUCCCGCGUCUUUUCUUUCCAGGGGCAUUGGAUAGCUGAUUAGUCUCCCGAAGUGGUACAGUCGUAACAGCUUCCAGAGGGGAUGUUCCAGGAGGAGUCAGUUGCUCCAAAUUAUCAUUUUGAUUUGAUGCUAUUGCCGCCUCUAUAAUUCUGUUAGCAGUUUCUGCUGUUAGACCUUUAGCUUCACCUUGAAUUACUCUACAUUUCCUUGCAACACUCUCAGUAGGGUCAGCACAGCUCAUAUAUUGAACUGUUACCUCUCGGAGGGUUCCCAUAACCUCCUCAGUAGAAGGAAGAGGCAUAGGUGGAGGAGGGGUUACUUCUGCUGAAGACAAGGUGUGCUCCGCCAGGGGGCGUCUGGUGAUGGACGUUUCAGAAUUUCCAGCUCGGAUUAAGUAUUUUCUCUCCAGCAUAGAUUUGUCUUUUUGUAUCCUCCACCAUAGCUAUGAUGUGACCUUGAGUAGUCGUUUCUAGAGGAUGAUAGGGAGCGGCCAGUUGGCCUUGGUGGGAAAGCAGGGCUACUUCUUUCACGCGAGUCAAGGGCUCUAUGGUGGUGACUGUCAGGGUUGGUGCCCAGCAGGCUUCGUUUAUAAGGUGACAAAGCAUGGAAGGACCCUCGAGAGUUUUAUUGGUGACGAAAUGUAUUCGUGGGGCUUUAUUUGGAAUGAUGGUUCACCUGAGUUGUCUCUAGAGUCCUCUGUCCGUUCUGACUAACUUGUGGUGCCCUAAAAUUGUCCCAAGGGGUGUAGUAGUUCCGCUGGGGUUCACUCUUUCCUGGAGCAUUUGUUUGGGGGAUCAGCUCCUCUUGUCUCUCAGAUGCCGCUAAAAACCCUGGGCAAACUUUCUUUUCAUGGGAUAGUCUAUUACAAAAGGAGCAGUAGUUUUUGAGGUUUUUGUAGCGGAAGGAGAUCAGGGCUUCACUGCCAUCUUUAAACUCGACUAUUGUCUCCUUUACCAGAGGAAGCCAGAGGUGUUUUGGGAGUCCUUGGAUAUCAAUCCAGUAAGGAAUCUUUGAUGGGAAAGUCUCCGAUAUAACAGGUUCCCAUUUUUGAAUGAUAACCAUCCACUGGUCGAAGUGGUAUGGUCUAUUGUCUAGCACUUUCUGCAUAUCUUCUUCAUUAGCUUGGGACUGAACCUGAAGCUUUACCUCGAAGGUUCCAAUGAUUUGAGAGGAAUGGAAAAAGAGACCAUAGUCUUUGAACCGGUGGGUUUGUAAGGCGACCCAUUAAGGUAGGGGGAGAGAAACCGCCCUCAAUGUUUUUCCCUUUCAGGUGAUAUGGCAUCCUCUUAUCCAUGGUUCGAGCACUUCAGUAGCAGGAAGGUCAGGGUGAUGGAGGGAUGGUUUUGAGAACACAGGUUACUCACUUAGCAAGUGAGAUUUUUAAACAAGGCAGUAACACAGGUAAACAGGGUUAAACUUUUGAAGCUAAGGAAAACAAAAAACUACCUUUGGAGGGGUGAUCUGAAGGCAGAUGUGUAGGAGCUGCAUUUUUGUUACGAGCAACCGCUCCAACAGAUAUCUUAAACAACCCAUCACGAACAAAUUCCUUACCCAAAUACAACCCAUAUUUGGAAAGUACAAGCUUAUACGUAUCUAAAUUAACAGUAAAUCCAUGCUUGCUAAGGAGAGAUCCGGAGAUUAAGUUCUUACGCAUCUCUGGUACGUGAACUACAUUCGUCAAAGUGAGCUCAUGUCCAGAAGUAAGCUUUAAGACAAUCUUCCCGUAACCUUCAACCUUUGAGGUGGCGGAGUUUCCCAUGAAAAGUCUCUCGUCACUCUCAUUUUUCUUGUAGGUUUAAAACAUCGACCUAUCCAAGCAAAUGUGCCUAGUUGCACCGGUAUCAAACCACCACGUCUUUGGAUGGCUCUCGGCAAAGUUAACCUCUGUGACUACCGCACACAAGUCAGCUCCGGUGGAGACGUUCAAGUCUUCACUGGCCAUGUCUGAAACACAAACACAAAGCUUUUUUCAGAACAAUAUAUCAAGUCGUGAGAUGACUCUGAUAAUCAAGUGAAUAAAUCAACAACA